rnacentral:rRNA from 1 species
AUUGAACGCUGGCGGCAGGCCUAACACAUGCAAGUCGAGCGAGCGGCGGACGGGUGAGUAAUGUAUGGGGACUGCCCGAUAGAGGGGGAUAACUACUGGAAACGGUGGCUACUACCGCAUACUAUCGGAUAACCCAUAUGGGAUUAGCUAGUAGGUGGGGUAAAGGCUCACCUAGGCGACGAUCCCUAGCUGGUCUGAGAGGAUGAUAAGCGACACGGGGACUCAGACAAGGCCCAGACUCCUACGGAGGCAGCGGUGGGGAAUAUUGCACAAUGAGGGCAAGCCUGAUGCAGCCAUGCCGCGUGUAUGGAGAAGGCCUUAGGGUUGUAAAGUACGUUCAGCGAGGAGGCGUGACUCGCAGAAGAAGCACCGGCUAACUCCGUGCCAGCAGCCGCGGUAAUAC